rnacentral:rRNA from 1 species
AACGAACGUUAGCGGCGCGCUUAACACAUGCAAGUCGCACGAGAAAGGGCUUCGGCCCCGGUAAAGUGGCGCACGGGUGAGUAACACGUGGAUAACCUACCCUCGAGCAGGGGAUAACAUCCCGAAAGGGGUGCUAAUACCGCAUAAGACCACGGCUUCGAAAGGAGCUGAGGUAAAAGCUGGCCUCUAUAUAUAAGCUAGCGCUUGAGGACGGGUCCGCGGCGCAUCAGGUAGUUGGCGGGGUAAUGGCCCACCAAGCCUAAGACGCGUAGCUGGUCUGAGAGGAUGAUCAGCCACACUGGAACUGAGACACGGUCCAGACUCCUACGGGAGGCAGCAGUGGGGAAUCUUGCGCAAUGGACGAAAGUCUGACGCAGCGACGCCGCGUGUGUGAUGAAGGCCUUC